rnacentral:rRNA from 1 species
AACGAACGCUGGCGGCAGGCUUAACACAUGCAAGUCGAACGCAUCCUUCGGGGUGAGUGGCAGACGGGUGAGUAACGCGUGGGAACGUGCCCUUCAGCUCGGGAUAACCCAGGGAAACUUGGGCUAAUACCGGAUACGUGCGAGAGCAGAAAGAUUUAUCGCUGAAGGAUCGGCCCGCGUCUGAUUAGCUAGUUGGUGGGGUAACGGCCCACCAAGGCGACGAUCAGUAGCUGGUCUGAGAGGAUGAUCAGCCACAUUGGGACUGAGACACGGCCCAAACUCCUACGGGAGGCAGCAGUGGGGAAUAUUGGACAAUGGGCGCAAGCCUGAUCCAGCCAUGCCGCGUGAGUGAUGAAGGCCUUAGGGUUGUAAAGCUCUUUCGUCCGGGACGAUAAUGACGGUACCGGAAGAAGAAGCCCCGGCUAACUACGUGCCAGCAGCCGCCGUAA